CCCACUCUUGAGUAUGACCCGCAUCGGUGUAUCCCCCUACUAUAGCUUAUGUAUGGGAGAGAGAUA
rnacentral:rRNA from 1 species